CCACCCAAGGAAGACAAAGUCUUACAGAGAAUCAUGGCAUAAUGAAAUCUGGGUGAGAAAGAUUAACCCCCAUUUCUAUAACAGCAAUAAGCCUCACCAUCAGCUAGGGAUCAGACAAGUGUGUUAGAGAAGCCCUGGACUGAGGAUUUCCCCAGGAGAAAUUAAACCCUUUUUGUGGGCAUCUGAAAGCAUUGUGAGCCCUCGGCACUGUGCCCCCUGUGCCUGAUGGAGGACAAGUUGGCCCUGCUGCCCAACCCUGCACCCUCUGCUUCAUCCCACCCUCCAUGCCCUGUUUGCUGAAACAAAGAGUCUGUAUUUCCUGAAGGAAAUUCACAGUGCAGUGCAUGUCUUCCCUGAAGAAAGCCAAGUAAUAGAAGACAAUUGGAGGGGCAAAAGGGGAAAGGCCCUGAGAAAGCCCAGGACUGGCAACAGAGAGGCCUGCGCUCAGCUGGAACUUGACUACUUGACUCCUCAGUUGUCACAAGGAGAUACUAUGCUGUCUCUCAGUGGUAUGUUGAAGGUCAAGGAGACAGAGGCAGGACCAGGAGCAGGAGUGAAGGUUCAAUUCAGCCAGAAUCGAGAUUGAUCUUACUACUUUCUAAUGGUGAAAACAAACCAAAGGCCAGCC